rnacentral:rRNA from 1 species
GUCAGCUCGUGUUGUGAAAUGUUGGGUUAAGUCCCGCAACGAGCGCAACCCUUAUCCUUGUUUGCCAGCACUUCGGGUGGGAACUCCAGGGAGACUGCCGGUGAUAAACCGGAGGAAGGUGGGGACGACGUCAAGUCAUCAUGGCCCUUCCGAGUAGGGCUACACACGUGCUACAAUGGCAUAUACAGAGGGCAGCAAGACCGCGAGGUGGAGCGAAUCCCAGAAAGUAUGUCGUAGUCCGGAUCGGAGUCUGCAACUCGACUCCGUGAAGUCGGAAUCGCUAGUAAUCGUGGAUCAGAAUGCCACGGUGAAUACGUUCCCGGGCCUUGUACACACCGCCCGUCACACCAUGGGAGUGGGCUGCACCAGAAGUAGAUAGCUUAACCUUCGGGAGGGCGUUUACCACGGUGUGGUUCAUGACUGGGGUGAAGUCGUAACAAGGUAACCG